AUCACGACAAAGAAACUAUCCCAGACUGCGUCUCCACAAGAUGACAACACCAGCGAAAUGAAAACACUGGAAAGAGACGAUUUUGCCCCCAUGUUCCUAUCCGUUUUCUGAUUCCCCCUCCAAAAAAAAGUCGUAAUCCUAAUCUUCCUCAUGUAUACUUCCUAUCCUUCACUCUAAGAAGGGAUUUUUUUUUUGAAUUAGAGAAAAAACAAGAUACAGAUACAUAUAUUAAAGAAAAUACAAAAGACAUUUCGUGGAACUUGCUUGUGUUUUCAUCGCUCACUUCUUGUCUCGGUCGCUGCCCUCAAAAGGUAAUGCCCUCUUCGUUAUUGUAUUUAUCUUCGCCUUUUUUUCUGAUUAUAAAUUGAUAUUGUUCGAAAUCGAAGACCUUGUGAUGUGUUUGGUUUGCCGAUUAAGUACUAGGUUUUUUUUCUGUUGGAGUAUGAUGUAUUUAAUUGGCUUCAGUGAUUGGAUUUUAAGGUCGAGUUAAUCCCAUUGGGAUUCUAUAUAUUUUAUCACUUCUGUUCCCAUAUUCAUGUGUUAAAUUUUGUGGGUUAUUUUUUUCCGUGUAUACUCGUUUUGAUACUGUCGAAUCGGCAUUUCCUCAUUUUAGUUGUUUUUCUUAGUGUUUAAAACUCUUUCAUUUCGCUUCUGCAAAUGUCGAUCUAGAUGUCUGGAGGAUGACUAAUAGAGAGAUUGAAUGUCAUUGUAUCUAGGUUGCAACAAUUCGCUCUUUUUUUAGUUAGUUUGUUUUUUGUCUGUCACGCUCCCAUCUGUAUUCAUAAAGUGUGAGUUGUGUUCUAUGUUUUUUUAUAAUGGUCUUUGUUGAGUGAGUCAUAUGUCAUGGGAUUAGAGUCUUAAGGUUUAUGUGUUAAUGCAUUUCUUGUUUAUCAUUAUAAACAUUAGGAAUUGUGUUAAGAUUAGCUCACAAAAAAUGUUUUGUUUCCUCCACUUGUCCUGUCUCUUCAUGAGAUUUUUUUUUAAAAAAAAAACUAAAACCCUUCUCUCAUUUAUGUCAACAAUUCUGCAAAGUAUCAACUUUAUUUCGUUAACUGGGUAUGCUGAUUUACUCAGAUGUAAAGUACUCGAUUUAUUUUAUUAAUGCAUGAGUUUAUAACAGUUAUUAAAUUCAUAUUGCAAUUCUUUUGGCUCCGGCAGUAUCAACUUCAAUGGUUUGCUCCGCUUUGAUUAAUAGUUGCUUCUUUAUCAUCAUUUUUGUCUAAGUAAUUAGAAUUAAACCCACUCCAUUUAAUCACUGAUAGUUUUAUUAUUUAGUUGGUAAUACUAUUUGUGUUUCAUCUUAUUAUGGGCGAAGCAUGCUGUACUGAUUUGAUCUAUAAACAUGUUAGAAUUUUUGUUUUCUCAUAUUUCCAUAUAAUUUCAAUUUUUAGUUGUCUGCACCUUAUUUUCUUUCACACCCUUGCAUGUUUUCCAUGAAAUUUGUGAGUAAGUUAACUCUAAAAGAAGAUUUGGAAUGUUGAUUUUCUGUUCAUAUGAACACUCAUAGACUUGUAUAUAUAUUGUGUAAGAUAAAUGGGUCAAGUUUCAUAAAUGGUUUAAGUUGAAAUCUCUCUAUGAUGGAAUGGUGUUCUAUUCGUUCCUGCGUCCCUUAAGCAUAUAACAUUUCCCUCCUUCCUCGUCAAAUGACUUAUGUUGACUGUUGCUCAUUUCAGAAAGAUUACAAUCCUAAGGCUAGAGUUUUUUUUAGUUUACUCUCGUUAAUCUAUAAAUAUAUGUCUCAUUUUGUGGAAAUUAUUCUAAACCUUGUGGCUUGUUUGUUAUCUAUGUUUUCUUCUUUUGCUUACUAUUAUUAUUUUAUUAUUAUUUAUUAUUAUUAUUAUUAUUAUUAUUAUUAUUAUAUUUUAUAAAAAAAAUAAUAAGAUAAAAAUAAGAUAAUUUAAUGAGGAAGAAGAUACAACAAUCUUCCCUUUAGUUCUGACGCUUAAGUUUGGCAAGAUUUGACUUAUUUUACUAUUUUUUCUACCACUUCGCUUUUUCUCUAAAUGAUUAAUCUUAUUCCGUACAUGGUUUUAAUGUUAUAUCCUUAGCAACCUUUGCUCAGUUUUUUGUGUUGCAUCUUAAGUAUAAUGAUAUAGAUGUUUCAUUCGUCAUUUUAUUCAUAUUACUAAAUACUUGUCCUACUAUUGAAGUUUGUUGCUAGUUAUUUCAUUUAUGGGAAAAACAUAUGUGAGUUAUGGAGAAGUAGUAGAGGAAAUAUUAAUCCAUGCGUUUUGUUUAUUUUUUUCUCCUCAUGAUAAAUCAAUUGUUGGUGUACCCGAGAUUUCAAUACAUUGAUUUGGGUGUGAUUCUCUUUUAUGUUUGGGUUAUUUGUAUGAUCAAGUAAAUAUCAUAAUCCAUUAAGUAUGUUUCUUUCUUUAGUUGCUGCAGUUCACAUUUUGCUAAUGUAAUUUUUUAUUUUUUAUUUUUUUGUGAACUCUUCUCGAGUUCAUUUAGACUCCAUUACCCGCCUUGCACUCUCCUAUCGAGCCACGAAGCAUCAAAAUCCUUCACUGAGUCAGCCAACAAAACUUGAUGAACAGGUCUCGAAAAUUGAAGAAUACACACAAAUUAAGAAGUCGGAGAUUUGAAGAAGUUGGGACAAAAAGGGCCCUGUUAUUUCAAAUUAUUGUAUAUUUGUUAUUAUUGGGUUUAAGCCCUUUACCAUUAUUGUAUUGUUAGGACUUAGGACAUGUACCAAAGUGAAAUGGGUCAAAAACUUAAAAGCAAACAGGGUUCAAAUAUCGGUCCAGGCGGACAGAAUCCAGAUUUGGACCCAACA